CAAUUUGGGCAUUCAGUGUCUGGCUAGAUUGACGCUGGCGGCAUGCCUUACACAUGCAAGUCGAACGCGAAAGGGGGCAACCCCGAGUAGAGUGGCGAACGGGUGAGCAAUACAUCGGAACGUGUCCUGUAGCGGGGGACAACCUCGAGAAAUCGAGGCUAAUACCGCAUACGAUCUACGGAUGAAAGUGGGGGACCGCAAGGCCCCACACUAUAGGAGCGGCCGAUGCCGGAUUAGCUAGUUGGUGGGGUAACGGCCUACCAAGGCGACGAUCCGUAGCUGGUUUGAGAGAACGACCAGCCACACUGGGACUGAGACACGGCCCAGACUCCUACGGGAGGCAGCAGUGGGGAAUUUUGGACAAUGGGCGAAAGCCUGAUCCAGCCAUGCCGCGUGAGUGAAGAAGGCCUUCGGGUUGUAAAGCUCUUUCGGCGGGGACGAAAUAGCGCGGGGUAAUAUCCCGCGUCGAUGACUGUACCCGAAGAAGAAGGACCGGCUAACUACGUGCCAGCAGCCGCGGUAAUACGUAGGGUCCAAGCGUUAAUCGGAAUUACUGGGCGUAAAGCGUGCGUAGGCGGUCUCGCAAGUCCGAUGUGAAAUCCCCGAGCUUAACUUGGGAACUGCGUUGGAAACUAUGAGGCUAGAGUGCGGCAGAGGGGGGUGGAAUUCCAGGUGUAGCAGUGAAAUGCGUAGAGAUCUGGAGGAACACC
rnacentral:rRNA from 1 species